rnacentral:rRNA from 1 species
UACGGGGGGGGCAAGCGUUGUUCGGAAUUACUGGGCGUAAAGGGCCAGUAGGCGGCCAACUAAGUCGGAUGUGAAAUCCCCAGGCUUAACCUGGGAACUGCAUCCGAUACUGGAUGGCUUGAAUUCGGGAGAGGGAUGCAGAAUUCCAGGUGUAGCGGUGAAAUGCGUAGAUAUCUGGAGGAAUACCGGUGGCGAAGGCGGCAUCCUGGACCGACAUUGACGCUGAACGGCGAAAGCUAGGGGAGCAAACGGGAGUUAGAAACCC